AGAUAAGAUUCCAAGAGGCAAAAGUACUAGAUCUGGUAUUGGGAGUAUGUCAUACAGAUUACAUAAAAGAGAAGCACAGUGUUUCAGCGUAAGGGUACAAGGAACCAAUCUAAAAGUAAUAACUUUGGCAAGAUAGCCUGAUCGAGGGAAGACGGUGGCAGUUUCUAUGAUGAUGUGAUUGAAUUCAAGAUGGUUGAGCCCUCAGUGGAGGAGACUGCAUAGUGGUUGAAAUCAA